ACCACAUCCUGCUGGCUCAUGAAUUAGGAGAGAAAGAUUUUUGGGCAAGUGGUGGACAAGUUCCUUCAGUUCCAAACAAAGCCUGCGACCCAGGCUGUACAGAUGGAGGUGUCUCCUACCUCACUGGAAGGCUUUGUGAUUGCAUCAGGGAUUAAGAAAAACCUAUACUGAGCUGAGAUGGCUGGAAAUAAUAUAAGAGUGAACAGCUACAGAACCAUAGUUUUUUUUUCUGGAGACUGGACAUACACAAGUCAUUCUUCAAACAAUAUUUCCCUAGGCAACUCUUCAAAAUUUUUAAUUUGCAAGGCAGAUUCCUCCUAACACAGUUGAAAUCACAGAUCCAUUUUUGACUCAUGAGGUCUCAGAGAUCUUUAUCUACAAAAUGUAGGGAAUGACCUAAAUCAGACCCAAGUGACAAGAGAAACAACUGCCAGGCAUGUUAAAAGCAAAACUGUCAGCACUUUUUAUUGGGUUGUGAGGACCCACAACAAAAUUCUCAAGUGUGAGUCAGAACCAAAUGAGAAUUGAAUUGGUGAAUGUUUAACAAAGUAAAUAAAAAUUCAUUACAACAUAGAUAAUAUUGGUCUGUGGUUUUCUGAGUCAAUAUGUGGUCUGUUGGGAUCCUGUUCUAUUUGAGUUUGACACUACUUCCCAAAAUGAUACACAGCUACUUUUCCCUUGUCUGGCCUCCUUCAAUACUUAGCUCAAAUCCCACCUUCUGCAACAGGCCUUUCCCAGUCUCUCCCCAUCCCUACUCCUCUUCUACAGCAUUCCCUGUGAGCUUACUUUCAAGUUACAAUGUAUAAUGUACCCAGUUCUUUUUGUCAUCUCCCCACAUUAAAAUGUGAGCUCCUUGAGAGCAAGGAUGAGAGCAAGUUUCCAAGUUGUAACUCAGCCUUCAACCAUUGUCAAUACCAGAAAUAAUUACUU